GUGGUGGCUCAGAGGUAGAGUGCUCGCCUAGCACGUGAGAGGCCCUAGGUUCAAUUCUCAGCACCACA
rnacentral:tRNA from 1 species